GCAUGCUGGAGAUAAGCUAAUCUUCCAGAUAACAAACAUUCAGCAACGCAUAACGAAAUACAAGGUGUCAUGAUGAUGUAGCACAACCAGGGCUCCUUCUUUCAGAGUCCCGAGGAGGUGAAAAUCCACACUUUACUCAAAUCCAGCAUCCUACAGCGCGUUGCUGCAUUCAGAAACAACACUCAGCAGCUCGGCUGAGCACUGAUAAGCACUGCACUGUUAUUGCAGUGUUUGACACGGGCCCCUCUGAGCGUCGCUUGCCUCAGCCUGAGCCAAACCUCCCCUAGGCCUCCUUGAUGACGACCACGGAGAGGGGCCCCAUCUUGUGGACGUUUCCUGGAGUACGCACGGCUGUAGCAGGCGCCGUGCUCGUAAAGCAGCGCUGUAAAGCCAGCUCCCGUAGCCAUCGCCGGGACUUAACCUGAGCUAGGGUGCCCCGCUCCGUGUACUAAAAGCACCUCCUUUCUCUUGGGCUACUCCUCCCUGUCCUGCAGGUGUGAGGAGCCCAGCCUAAAUUUUUGAAGACCUGGAGAGAAGCUUCUGCGCUGCCUGCAAGCUCCAUCCUUGUGCUCAGGGGAGGGGAGGAUGAGGGCAGCCGGGAAUGAAUGGAGACAAGAGCGGAACAGGUCAGACUGCAUCGGCUGCAGGGAUCCGGAGCACUGGGGGGAGAGGGGCUAUUGAAUGUUCUCCAUUGCUUCCCAUCUUUGCUUAUCAUCUCUUUGGCAAUACCUCCAUUGAUACAGCUGCCCAAAAUGCAAGAUGGACACACUGACAGCAGACAGAAAAGCAAGCAUACUUUGGUCAACUCAACCCAAGAGCUGAGCUUCAUGCCACUUAUAGCAUCUCUGACUACACACAUUGUAGCGAUAUGUUCUAACAAAUUCAUCUUGAGGUAUGCAGACAAAUGGCACACAUUACAGUUAGGUCGAGAGCACAGCAAUCUGUGAAACUGCCAGACCUUCUUGCUAUCAGAGGGAAAGUAAUAUCCACGCAGAUGGUGGCCUUGAUUUAUGGACCUUGUUAAGGUAAUCAUGUGAGAAACUGGCAAACGUUGUAGAAAAUAAAAUAAGAAGAGAUGAAGACUUUGAGGAUCUCUGAAUAAGCACAAACUACCCAGUUAUUGCCGAGGCAGUGAAAUUCAAAAUACCCCCCAAAAAAGGUCAUCUGGUCAGCAAAACCGGAAUCAGUGCAGUAAAAGUUAACAGGAAUGUUUAUUAUUGUUUAUAUUUUUGUUUGUUUGUUUACCUGGUUUGCCUGUUGGUCAGCCCUGUCCCUGAUCAUUGUAUCUUGGAGCAGCUCAUUGAACUCACUGUUUCCACAAUGUUCAUGCCUGACUUACUUUCACAGUUGGAGGGGCUGUCUAUGUUUUCCCUUGAUGUCAAUGAAGCAAUACUGGAAGUGCUUUUUUUAACAGAGCUAAUGGAAUUCCUGGAGGUUGCCAAACAGCAUCAUUCCCUCCUAAGUCCUUAACACAGCCAACUGUUCAUUUCAUGAAUGCGAAUUUUGAUGACUACAGCAAUCACUAUCUCUGAGACAAAUGCAUUGUAGGUAAUAAAAAUAUUCUUCACGCAAACUUAGUGUGGUUCUAUUCUAAUACCUGCAACUAAGAAUUCUCAUACCAAAAUAAAACCUGAAAAUACUCAGGUAAUGUCAGAAUGAAAAGUCAUACCCUUUAGGACACAUGAAUGGCAAAACAGUUUCAUUAUUGUUGAUGUCAUAAUGUAGAAUAAUGAAACAAAUACAAAUCAAGAUAAAUUCAAACAGUGCUUUAAUGCUUAAUGGUCCUUCAGUCCAACUUUGAGUUCACAAUCUUCUGUAAGCCUUGCAAAAAAUAAAUUAGUGUAAGUUAAACUGUUUCUGUUCCUUGUUUCUAUCCAUCUUCCUCUUGACCAUUUUCUUCUCUAAAAUUCAAUUGAACUCUGAUUUUGAAGCCAGUGUUCCUUUAUGUUUUUGUCAAAUAAAUGUCUUGAUCCAAUCAACCAUAUCCUUUCUAGCUUCUUCAAUAUAAGGCUUAUCAGCAGGUUUCAUAUCUUCUGGCUUCAGUUGUGCAAACCCGUGAACCUGUCCAGGAUAAACUUUAAUUUUAUAUGGAACUUUACAGUACUGUUUCAACUUCUCAUCCAAUAAGGUAAUCUGUAAAAUAAAGCAUUUUUCUGUUA